CUGCCAUGUUAGCAUUCUAGUCACUUUAGUCCUUGCCUGACUACUCUACUGAACUAACCGUAUUAUUCUUUUAGGCCUAAUUUAGUUCUCCAAUGACUUUAUUAUUUCCACAUGUCAGUGCACCAACUGUGAGCAACUCCCAAACGAAUCGGUCUGGAAGUAAUAUGUGUUGCUAGCAUGCUAAAUUGUUAGCGGUUUUGAAGGCCAGUCUGCUGCCGUCCGACUUCAAACUCCUCACAUUUCUGCUUUUCUAAAGUUUUCGUUUCCACCAGACGGUGGCAGCAGAGGACCAGUUCCCAGGAUCCUCAUCUCUCCCGCGCAGCCGCAGAAGCCCUCCCCUGCUGAACGGAUGCUGAGAAUAGACCGAGCAGGAAUGCCUAUAUAUGGACAUGGAGCCUCACAGGUGCAGCCGGCGAAUGUGGAACGUGCCACUUGGGAGUGGAUUUUCCUCCGUGGUCCCCGAUGUAAAAUGAGUUUGGCGCCCCUGGAUUAAGGUGCGAUAAGACAUCAGCACCACGGACAGCGACCAUGCAGGUUCCAGCACCGCGGACAGCAUUUUCCCGCACACUUGUUGACGCUCUCUUACCCGUUGAAGUGAAGAAGACGGACUUCCUGGUGUACAUGCAGGCCAGAGACAUGAUGUGCAGGUACGACAGCCGGGCUUUGUCCGUGUCGGAGAUGGGCAACAAGUCCUUCAGGUUCCGGAUCUCGGCGUUGAUCUGGUCCCGUCGAGCCUUGGACGCUCCCUUGGUGGAGCGAUACAUGCUGGCUUGACGCUGCAGUGCAGGCUGGGAGCUCCCAAGAAAAGAAGAAGCUGGAAAGCCCUCCUCACAGGUGUCUACUGCAGGGAUGUUAUUGCACUUUCAUUGCGCCUCCUUUUCCAGAGAAAUGUAUUUGGUGGAGCUUGUGAGCGUCUGCCCUCCUCUCCUCCCCGGGUGGAGAGCGGCUGAACGGGGCGGCUGUGCUCGCCACGUCUCUCGGCACCGAAGUCCGGAUCCAGCGAGUGUGUUUGAGGGGAGACUCUGCUCGCAGGUCUCUUAUAUAGCCUGGGACCGGGGGGGCCCCCUCGACGCAGCAACGCCGACGUAAGAAGAAGGAGGGAGGAGGAUGAGAGAGAUGUCUCACAUCAGUGGAUGCUGGAGCUCCCGCCUCCAUCCCUCCCUCCCUCUCCUCUCGGUGACUCUGCCCCCGACGUCAGCUCCCUCUCCCCGCUGAUGACGUAGGGAUGGAGUCGGGAGCUCCGGCGACGCAAAAAGCCCGAUUUGGACAAAACCGAGUAAGGGGCGGAGCCAGCGGAUCGACGUAGAUGGAGUCACCGAGCCCGGCGAGGGAGGGGGGGAGGCACUUGAACGUCUCAUUUUGGAGCAGCAAGAGAACAUUGAGCUUCUUCUGGUGGAUGGAGGUCAGCAGUAAAAACACACACAAUGACAAUGAAGGGAUUAUCACCAUCCAGCCGUAAAUCUCCAUUCUGAUGCCACGUCAAAUGAUGAAUGAAUGAACGAAUGAAUGAAUAGGGCGCGCGAAGCAUCCUGCAGCAGACACGUGAGAGAAGCUGCUCUUUCUAAAAAUAGAUCUGCUACCUAUCCAUCUACUGUAUCUGUCUUAACGGCGCCCCCUGCAGCCACCAUCUUGCUAUCCACAUCAUCGAAUAGGAUGCAAAUGCCUUCUCGGGAGAGAAGUAAACACGUGUGAUUUUGUCCACAACUGCGUUAUUGUUAUUAAGUCUGGUUUCUUUCACACAUUUGGAGGCUGUAAUGUUGUUGUUUGAAUUUCUAAGUAUUCUUUCAUUGCCGUUUUGGAAAAUAGUGACCUGGAUCCAUGAGACCAGGAGGCUUCUUCCUUCUCCUUUUCGUUGAAAAGUGUCAAGUCAUUCCAUUCAUUGCCCUGACCCUCAUUGUUUGGGAGGUUGUCCUGUGAGCGUGUGCUGAUGACAUCAGCCUCACCUCUCCACGGUGGAGCGCACAUAGCAGCUGAUGGCAGCAGGACAGCGACAGUGACACAUGCUAAAUCUUUGGACUAAAAGACCUGGGGAAAAGGAAAAGAUCAAAGAUGCUACAGGGUCCACACCCCUGUAUUGGGAAGCCCCUGACUGUUGCAUGCUGGGAAGAGCCUCCAGUUCUCCAAGCAGGACAAGAUUGGGUGAGUGGCGUUUUUUUUUUUUUUUUGUAUUGACGUUUCUUACGAUGA